AUGCACGGGGGUAAAUCACAGGACUGCCCUGGGGGUCCAGCGAGGCCCAGAUGCCCUGUGCCCUUCUGCAGGGUGGGACAGGAACUAGGAAGACAGAGGCAAUUCAGAGGAAGUGAGCCUCAGGAGGAAGGCAUGGGCCAAGGGGACGGUCAUUCCUCAAUGAUCUUUCUUUGGAAGAAUGAACAGGCCAGGGAGACAGCAGGAGCUGGUGACCUUCCUCGGUCUUUCUUCCUGGGACGUGAGCAAGGCCUUCCGGCCUCUCACUGUGCAGCUCAGGAAAUGCAAACGAGUGUUCACCUAACCAGAGCACACAGGACGGGCAGGAGCCCACCACAACCAACGAUGCUGAGCCCACAGCCUGGCCAUGCAGUCACAGGUAUGACCCAGGGCACACAAGUUCAAGAAUAGUCCCCUACACUGUGGCAGGCCAAGAGGGACCAAGAUCCAAGCCAAAGCUCUUGUUGAGGUGUACAUAGGCAUAUUGCACCUUUCAGCCUGUGAUCAUUUUAUUCUUAAAGGCUUUUACAAGCAUCAGCUUUGUGGUGAGCAUCUAGCUAGUAAAUUACUAACAUUGCUGAUUAUACCAGUCAGGUUGGGUCAUAGUGACAAUGUCACUUCUGUUCAACCCAUAGCCAGGACUGGCCUCCUGGCCCUAUCAACCACGGGAGGGUGGAGAGAAUACACACUGAAUGGUAACUGUGCUAGUCAGCUUUCUGUGGCUGUAACAAAAUACCUGAGAGCAACAAUUUAAAAGGAGGAAAGGUUUAUUUUGGUUCACAGUUUCAGAGAUUUCAGCCCAUGUUUGCUUGGCCUGGUGGCUUUGGGCUUAGGUUAGAGGGAGCACCCCAGGGCAGAAGUGCAUGGGAGGAAAGCUGCUCAGCUCACAGCAACCAGGAAGCUGAGAGAGAGGAAGGGGCAGGGGUCCCCAUGUCUCCUUUGAGGACAUACCUCCAGUGACCUACUUCCUCCACCUCCUGAUGUUUACACUAUUCCCCAGCAGAACCCCAGGCUUCGGAUCGAGCCUUCAACACAUGAGACCACGAGGAUAUUUAAGGUCCAAACCAUCAAAGUAACUGUCUCUGAUUUUUUGUCUUAAUUCAGGGGAAGGAAGGGUUCUGUAAAUCUCACUUUGGGGACCUUUAAAAAUCCCAAACAUGUCUGUGGUCCUCAUCACUCAGUUAUUAACUCCUCCUCAAAAAUGUGUGUUCCCAGGGCUGGGGAUGUGGCUCAAGCGGUAGCACGCUCGCCUGGCAUGCGUGCGGCCCGGGUUCGAUCCUCAGCACCACAUACAAAGAUGUUGUAUCCACCGAAAAAUAAAAAAUAAAUAUUAACAUUCUAAAAAAAAAAAUGUGUGUUCCCAAACUCUUAUCAUCUCCACUUCUUCAAAGUUUUGAUGAUUCCCAAAGCUUAGCAACCACAGCAUCGGCACUGUUACUUCAGGGUAACAAAUACAUUAAAUUGUUUGUGUCCUAGGCAUGAGCCUACCUGUAAGGUAUCAAAUGUGACUGACACAGACAUGGUCCCUGCUUCUAGUCCUGCGGGAUGGUAGUGAUGACCAUCAGUCAGUCAUGUGCCCCUUUGAUGAUCUGGGUGUCACUAGAUGGCCUCUGCAUGGUAGGCAAAUGCUCUACCAGGGACCCACACCCCAGUCUUCUCACAAGGCCUUAGGUGUCCAAAGUUGGGUGUAUUUGCCAGGUCAAGGCGGUAACUCCUACUCCCUCCUACUUUUAUCCCAGAGAUCAGUGCUUUGAAAACCUUUGGGUUAGCACACUUUGAUGAGGGCGAGAGUCCUUACUGUCACAUUACUAAAUGGAGAACAGAAAUGUUGCAAUAGGCACCAUGUAUGGAUUAGUUGACCAUCCACCCCACACCAGGCAAGCAUACCUGGAGAGGGUGCUGGGAGGUGGACUUUCCUGCUUAGCCACUCACCCCUAGACCUCUGAGCUCACCCACAACAGCCCCUGCCUGCUGUCCCUGGGCUGGCCCCAUUCUGCCAGCAGAAGCAUUCGCAAGAUCCUCUCCUGCCUUAGCCUGGUCCCUGCCCUGGCAGUACGCAAUGCUAGUGCCCAGGACCUACACACAUACUGUGCUCCCUGGCCUUGGAGCUCUGGCAUCUGAGCCAGGAGCUGUGACCUGUGGGAAAAGCAGUGGUGCGGGACUAUGCCUGGUGCCCAAGGCGAGCUACGGACCAGAGCUGCAGGCGCUCUGCAAGGCCUCCAGAGGAGCCCAAGGUGUGUUGAGAUUUGAGUCGGGGCAGAGGCAUGAUGGUGAGAUGGAAACAUCCCAGCUUCAUGCCUUGAUCUGGUUUCUGUGUGAUCCUAGCAAGUUACAUAACCUCUCUGGGCCUUGUUUCCUCAUUUGUUGGGUUACUCUCUGUCAACACUAGAAGACUGUUGUGCCUUAAUGGAAAGCAUCUAGUGCAGUACACUGGCCUCCCUCAAUAAGCAAUGAUCAUAAAAUUGUUCCGCACGGAAACGCUGCCGGUCAAGGUCCAAGGCCAGCAUUCCACUUCGUACUUUCAGUUAGUGACCAGCAAAUCAGCCAGCUCCCUGCCUGCUUCUGGCAACCUGCUGCGCCCAGAACAGAGCCCCUCCUAGGUGCACACCCUGCAGAAUACCUGCCAAGCACGGUCAGCCGCUCUCCUAGCCUGUCCCAGGCCUCGCCCCUCUUUAGAGCUGCAGAGCCGAUGGGUGGGGAGCCACAGAAGAAUCAGGAGUACUGACAGUCAGCCCUGGCCAGGAUCCUUAAGCUCACACCUGUCCUAGCUGGUGAGUCAGUCUCCAGUCUCCUGCACACCUGUGUCAGGUGAGCAUCUCAAACUCCCUUGGCAAAUGUGCAAAGCUGGGACCUACAGCAAUAGCUCUCUAGCAUCACAUUGGGAUAGUCCCUGGAAGGGGGGUCAUUCAUAUUCAUGCUAUAAGUAUGGUCAGCAGCUUCACCAUCACCUCGGAGCUUGUUAGAAAUGCAGGGCCCCAGGCCCUUCUGCAUUAUUAACAAGAUCCCAUGAUUCCCAGCAUCCUCAGGUCAGUAUCAGGAACAUCAACACCAGCUUUACUAAAUGCUGUGCAUCGUCCAAGUCGGCACACCUCUCAGCUAUUACACCCCUUUGACAAACAAUGAUAUCACCUGCCAUUCAUUCAACAAAUCCUUAGGAGUGACCAUCUGAGAGGCUCUAUGCUAGGGAUUGGUGAUUAAAAAAAAAAAAAAAAAAAACCAAAACAGGUGCCACUCUGCUGGGGAAGAGCUCAGAGGCCAAUGGGAUAGAAUUUCAACCUCAUCACUUACUAGCUGUGUGUCCCUGGGCGCCUUUCUCAGCCUCUCUGAGUUUCCAGUUUCCUUUGCCGCAGAACAGGACUAAUAGCCACACCGCACAGGGCUGUGGUCAUGAUUCAGUGAGCUUCCCUGAGCCAAGUCCUCACCAGGCCUGGAUCUAGCAUGAGCUCAAUGACAGUCGCUACUAUGACAAGCAAAAAAAAAAAAAAAAAAAAGCCCACGGGGUGGCAGAGAGGAGGGAAUGUGGGGAAGACACCAGCUCGUGGCAUCUGGGGAGGGGGGCGAUAGGGACCAGAGCGAGGUCGUGAGCGCGGAGAACCUUCUCGGAGGGGCUCAGGCCGGGGGCGCGCUCUAGGGACGCUGUGAUGCACCCGCAGCACUGGGGACCGUGUGUGUGGCGGGUGUUUGCACUCACGGACGCCGGCUCCGGAUCAGGCCGUUCUCCCUACUCUGCUGUCGCGGACAGGAGUCUCUCCAGUUCGUCUGCUACUGGCAACUUCAGAUCGCGCCCUGUCCCCCGGAUGCCCUUUGUGGCUCGGCGAGGCCACCCCGCAACAGUCCUCCAGUCCCGGGGAGCGGGCGCCUGGGGAGCGGGG
ensembl:lincRNA